rnacentral:rRNA from 1 species
GUGGGGAAUAUUGCGCAAUGGGCGAAAGCCUGACGCAGCAACGCCGCGUGAGUGAUGAAGGCCUUCGGGUCGUAAAGCUCUGUCGCAGGGAACGAAAACCGCCGUUCGAAUAAGGCGGCGGUAUGACGGUACUCUGCAAGAAAGCCCCGGCCAACUCCGUGCCAGCAGCCGCGGUAAGACGGAGGGGGCGAGCGUUGUUCGGAAUUACUGGGCGUAAAGGGCGCGUAGGCGGUCAUGCAAGUCGGGGGUGAAAUCCCACGGCUUAACCGUGGAAUUGCCUUCGAAACUGCGUGACUUGAGUACGGAAGAGGAGAGCGGAAUUCCCAGUGUAGCGGUGAAAUGCGUAGAUAUUGGGAGGAACACCAGUGGCGUAAGCGGCUCUCUGGUCCGAUACUGACGCUGAGGCGCGAAAGCCAGGGGAGCAAACGGGAUUAGAAACCCCAGUAGUCC